rnacentral:misc_RNA from 1 species
GAUGAAGAACGUAGCGAAAUGCGAUACGUAGUGUGAAUUGCAGAAUUCAGUGAAUCAUCGAAUCUUUGAACGCACAUUGCACCUCUCGGUAUUCCGGGAGGUAUGCCUGUUCGAGCGUCAUUUGUACCCUCAAGCUCUGCUUGGUGUUGGGUGUUUGUUCCGCCUCUGUGUGUGAACUCGCCUCAAAACAAUUGACAGCCGGCGUACUUGUUUCGGAGCGCAGCACAUUUUGCGAUCCAGAUCAACGUACAGCGGCAUCCAAGAAGCCUUAUUUAACGCUCUUGACCUCGGAUCAGGUAGGGAUACCCGCUGAACUUAAGCAUAUCAAUAAGCGGAGGA